rnacentral:lncRNA from 1 species
CCUCCAAGAAUGAGCUUCAGCUGCUUCACACUGGUUUAAGGAGUCACUGGUGUUGGGUCUAGUAGAGGAGAAUUUUUUGUGUAGUUUAGUCUCAGAAUAGUAAUGAUACACUGUUUUUCUUAGGCAUUCACGGAAGCGCUGGGAAAACUUUAUCCAUAGUGAGAACAGACACCUUGUCAGCCCCGAGGCCCUUGAUCUUCUUGACAAGCUCCUGCGGUACGACCAUCAACAGAGAUUGACCGCCAAAGAGGCCAUGGAGCACCCGUACUUCUACCCGGUGGUGAAGGAGCAGUCCCAGCCUUGUGCUGAGAACACCGUGCUUUCCAGUGGUCUCACCGCAGCACGAUGAAGCCUGGGGAAUCGACGGUCUGUUGCGGUUCCUCCCACUUUUCCAUAAGCAGAACAAGAACCAAAUCAAAACGUCUUAACGCGUGUAGCGAGAUCACGUCCCGAGAGCAGACACAAAAUGGUGGCAGGCUUGGCGAACAGGAACUAGACCACCCGAAGGGCAGCCCACCACCGUAAAUCAGACCUCACUUCCGAAUGUAAAAGGUUCACAUGCCUUUGGCUUCCUGUUGACUUCCUCCUGACCCAGAAAGCAUGGGAAAUGUGAAGGGUAUGCAAAAAUGGUUGUUGGUUACUGUUGCUCUCCGUGCCCUCGACCCAUCCCGUGGCUGCCUGUUGCUCCAGCAAACCCCAAGGACUAGCUGACCACAGACCACAAAUGGGAUGGGGGCAGUGUAUGGCAUGGUGGGCAGUUACAUAUUAUUUUAAAAGUAUAUAUAUUAUUGAAUAAAACGUUUUAAAAG